GACGAACGCUGGCGGCGUGCUUAACACAUGCAAGUCGAACGGAAAGGCCCUGCUUUUGUGGGGUGCUCGAGUGGCGAACGGGUGAGUAACACGUGAGUAACCUGCCCUUGACUUUGGGAUAACUUCAGGAAACUGGGGCUAAUACCGGAUAGGAGCUCCUGCUGCAUGGUGGGGGUUGGAAAGUUUCGGCGGUUGGGGAUGGACUCGCGGCUUAUCAGCUUGUUGGUGGGGUAGUGGCUUACCAAGGCUUUGACGGGUAGCCGGCCUGAGAGGGUGACCGGCCACAUUGGGACUGAGAUACGGCCCAGACGCCUACGGGAGGCAGCAGUGGCGAGUAUGGCACAACGGGCGGAGGCCUGAUGCAGCGACGCCGCGUGCGGGAUGAGGGCCUUCGGGUUGUAAACCGAUGUCGCCUGUGACGCAGCGUGAAUGACGGUAAUGGGUAAAAAAGCACCGGCUAACUACGUG
rnacentral:rRNA from 1 species